rnacentral:lncRNA from 1 species
UGGAGUUUGUGGAACAAGAGUUCGUGGAGCAGUGCCAAACACCGCCUUAGGAGUGGUUUGGUAAACACUAAUCUAAACUCUUGGUAUGAGUUGUCCCGGUCAGUCUCACAUGCAUCAGGUACAGACUUGUUUGGAAUCUAACAAAAUAAUGGAUUUUUCAUGGUUAAAUGAAUAAACAACAAACAACUCGGAAAAGAAUUAGCCUAGG